GUUUAACGGCGUGCCUUAAGGGGUUGUUUAAUUAAAUUGGCAAUUAAAAUAAAAGAAAAAAGACAAUUAACCAAAGCACGUCCCUUAAUUUAGGUCUUGAAAGCACGUUGCUUAGCGAAUACGUGGCACAGUCAGAUUGGUUGGAGGAACGGUCUCGCCUUUCUCUCUUUUCGUUUUUCUUUUCUCUUUUCUUCUCUCUUUUCGUUUUUCCUUUUUCUUCUCUCGGUGGCGAAACCGCAACUCCUCGACAUCUCGACGAAACGGCGAGGUCUCUUCCGGUGGCUUCUGGCGAGGAAGGAAAACGACGCACUCUUUAUCGGUGGCUCCCUUCCAACAAGGAAAACCGCGACAUAUCUCUCUAUCAGUGGCUCUUUGAGGCGUCAUCUCUCUCUAUCAGUGGCUCACUGAGACGAAGAUAAACGGCGACUGUUGCGGCUCCGGCGAAUCGAAAGGGAAGCUUCUGUGGCAGAGGAUUACGAAGUUGGUGGAGGUGAAGUUUUGGUGGAUGAUAAAGAUAAUGAUGGUUGGGUUGCUACUCAUGGAAGGCCUAAAGAUAAAGGCAUGAUGGAAGUAGAUUGUGUGUUUGUGUCUUUAGUUGUUUGAUCAAGAUGGAUUGGCCGAGGCGUGAAGUGGGAACAACCUUUCUCUCUGUCAUCGUGAAUUGUAAGGUAGUAAAGGAGGGGAAGCAUCAAGCGGCUUUGAUGGAGACACGCCUGCAGAGCCAAAAAGAAAACAUAGAUGGACAGCAUCUGAUGAUGUUGUGCUCAUCUGUAAGACCCGAACCCGGCCGGCUAGGCCGCGGUCGAUGCCUCACGUUGCUCAGUCCAUACCCUGACCGAACCACUCAAGUUUUCAAUCUUUAUAUAUACUUUCGCCUAAGGGCGAAGUCUAUCUUAGACCUUAGCUCAAGACUACCUUAGUCCUUCCCUAGCUUAGAUCCUUUCAACUUAUGCACAGCGGAAUAUUAUCUAUCAACCAUUGGUCUAAAACCAAUCUAAUACUGGUCAGAUCGAAUCACCUUAGCCAUGGUCAGUAGACACAACUACUACCAGCUCCAAAGUUGAUCCUGAACCUAAUCCAAGUCAUACAAGUCCGAGGUUCCAUUCCCCUAACCAUUCUAUCUAGAUCUAUGCAAUAUUGCUAGAUCAUACCUUUGCCACAUCCACGGAGCUUGAUAGCUCUUUGUCUCAGCUGCCUUAGCUGUCUAGCUAGCUCAUUCAGCUAGCUGAACUGAACCACUUCACUUGAGGUUCCCAACUCUCUUCCAGCUGAUCGAGCUGCGAGGUAGCUUUGCCUAGCUCCCCAUCCACUCGUCCAACUCCUCAUUAUACCUGUAUAAACUCUCCCCUUAGGUACUUAGUCAUUCAACUAACCAUCCCCACAAACCAAAUACCUUUGGGAAGUCUUCAGCUGCAAAAUCAACCUCAAGCAAACAUGCUCCAAAAACUAAUUAAAAUUCAUGAUAAAUCAUGAUAAUUCAUAACUAAGAGAAUGGUCAAGUCAGAUUUCUCAGAACUGGCCUCGAUCAUAUUGAUCUCGCCCAUGAACAGCCCAUAUGGCCAUAACUGACCACCUCUAAAUCAAUGAGAUAAAACUAAUCUUUCACCAUGAUAAUUCAUGAUAAAUACCCAUUAAGAGAUAUUUAAAGUCGGAUCCUAACAAUUCCCUCAGAAACUAUCAGAUCUCCACUUACCUGCCCAACCAAGGCCAUGGAGAGAUUUCUCUGAAUCGGCCACUCCAUGGUUCAGUACCUCCAUGUCUGAACAUCAUAGAAUAAGAUUAACAAUGCCCACCAGUUCCUGAGUCAAUCAACCAACCACCCCACAUGACUCAGAACUGAUGAGUCUUCACACAUACCUAACCGGCCAUGGAACCAUGUCCCAAUGAACCUGGUCAUUCUUGCUCUUCUUCAUGGCUCUCAGCCAAUCCUGUACCAACCCAAGGUUGAUACCUAUCAUACCAUAUGAUUCCAUUACCUCAUUGCCACGGCCUGAAGCCAUUGGUAAUGCAAAACCAUAGAUCAGGUUCACUCAUGAACCACCAUGAAUCACUAGUUGCUGUAUAGCAUCUAAUUACCAUCCCAUAUGGAUGAAUUAGUUCAACUAUGAUCCGCCCCUUUCUCCAGGGUCCUGUAUCCCUACAAUACAUCACAAUAUAUGGUCUCCAAGGGCGUGCCACACUUGGCCUCAUAUGCACCUCAAGAGACACCAACAUAAACCACAAAGUAAUCAUAUGUACAUGUUACCUUAGACUUGAUCUUACUAGAUCUUGUGCUUCCUGUAUCAUGUCUGGCCAUGCUCCUCCAUUGCACGCCUCUAUCAAGUAUUAUCAUAUACCUCCAGUAUUGAUAAGAACCAAUCAUGGGUCGCACCCAUCAUCCAUUCCAUGGAACUCCCAUGAAAACAGUUUCUGCACUGCAUCCACCUUCAAGGCUGUUCAUGCUUUUGGAGUGGAGUCCGGCCUUCUCCAUUCUCUUCUGUCCAUUUGCGUGUGUUACCAUGAUGUAGAGGAAGCCUAGGGUGUGUUCAUCCAUGAUCAAACACCACCCAAGGGUCGUGCAUCACUUCCCACUUCAGUACCCAUGAAACUGCCUUUCUACACACCACUGCCCUUAAGGCUGCUCUUGGACUUUGAGAGUGAAUCCGGUCAUCUCCCUUUUUCCCUGGCUAUUUGGAUGUGUAGUAAGGAUGUAGAGGAAGCCUAUGGCGUGGCAAACCACAAUCAAAACACACCAGAGGGUCGUUCUCAACUCCCCUCUUGAUUGCCAUCAAAACUGCCUCUUUGCUGCCUUCAAGCCUCUCUUGGUCUUGGAUUGUGUAAUCCGACCAUCUCUCUGUUUUUCUCUGUUUUUCUUUGUGUUUCAGGAAGAAGAAUGAAGCCCUGGCGUGCCUGCAAAGGCACGGACUUGCCCUUGCAUUUAUAGAAAAGGAAUGGUCACCUUUCCAAAGGUUGCACCCUUUCGGUAUCAUUUCUGGCCAUUGAUUUAAUCAAUGGUCCAGAUCACACCUGUUCGCCUAUGGCAGUUACCUGACGUCCUUGACAUGCCUAAAUGCUCCUAGACAUGUCACACACAAGCCUUAGCUGGUUGCCCAAGCCCCUGGUCCAACCACAAGUGCCCACCGGCUCACCGGCACACCCGGGUGGUCCACAUGGUCCGACCACUGUCCGGACCUGGCCCAACUGCCCAAGACUUGAACACUCAGUCUUGCUGAGUUGAGCUGAUCUCCAGCUGACCCAGCUGAGUGAGCUAGUUCAUCCAGCUCAGGGAGCUGACACACUCUUCAGUGAGCUACACUGAGCUACACUACACUUCAUUUAGCUGGCCGAGCUUGCUCACUGCAUCGCCUAGCUGCCAUACACUUUGUACAGCUCCUUUAUACUUGUCUCCUUCUUGGUUUAGCUAUAUCUUAGCUUCCUGAUGCCCUUAAUCUUACUUCCAGGCCAUGAUACCCUUGUCUUUAGGUCACAUGAGCUGACUGGUGCGUCUCCUUGCACCAUAGUCGCUCCUAAGGAUCAUAUCCAGGAUCAGGGACAUGACAAGUCUCCCCCACUUAGAAUGGAUUCGUCCUCGAAUCCUGUGGUGCUUACAUCCCAUAUCAUGACAAAGGUUCCAACUGAACUCUUUGCUUCUUGCACAUCCGCUAAGGUGCAUGACCCCAGUCACAACUUACUGGAUCAUUCCUUAACUGAUCACAGCUUUUCCCAGUUUGGCCCUAUUGCGAUCUUAGUCCCUACUAGACUAAACCGCCUCAUACUUGACUUAUGUCCAUCACCAGACAUAGUCAUACUUUGAUCAUAGUCCAUGACUAGAUCAUUUUCAGUCCUUAAGAACAUACUGCAUACUCGAGUCUUAGUAGAUUUACCCAAUCCCCAAGCUACUCAAUGUAUCAGUCAAGUCUUAAAGAACUCGAUCACAUUCCGGUCCUGUCCACUCUGGGACUCCUCCGUCUCAAUCCAACCAUAGGUCAAUCUCCGACUUGGUUGUGCUGCGACCCUCGUCCCUCACUGGACUUAGUCGACCUAAUCUCAGCCAUCUCGGCUGGUGCCAAACGAUACGGACUUUUGGACAUUGGGACCGUUCCCGGUUCUAGUUCGAUCAUGCUCGGGUCAGCCCCUGCCGGAGGCACACCCUGCAGCGCCCGAAACACAUCCUUGAACUCUUGAACCAACCGAAUCCUCGUCCGGGCUACCACCCCCUACAACCUCCUUAGUGUUAAUGGUCGCCAACCAGGCCUCAUGACCACCUCUCAGCAUAUUUUCCACCUGGACCGCUGAGAUCACUAAGCAUCCCGAGGUUGGUCGGAUCCUUGGAAUCUGAUCGGGGGUCCACACCCACUCUCAAACAGCACCCUUCCCCGGUGACAGUCUAAGGUGGCCCAAUUCUUUCCAAGACCAAUCCAUCCCUAAGAUCACUUCAUGAUUCUUAAGGCUAACCACAAUCAGAUCCACGGGCAUGGUCCUUCCUUGGAUCAUCACUGGGAUGUCCCUAACAAGGCCUAGUGAAUGCAUCCUUUGGCCUCCGGCCGCACUCACUAUCCCGGGAUCAUCCCCUAUACCAAUACAAACAACCCCUUUCCGAUCAUAUCUGGACUCACAAACGGUGUGUAGCUCCAGUAUCGAAAGGUAUGUUGUUUCCACACCCCGAUCAUUAAGUACCUAGAUGAGUAAGAUAUCGGUUUGAUCACACAUUUGGAAAACGUCCCAUACCAUUCUCCAAAGUGUCACACUUCUGUGAACGUCCCAUACCAUUCACAAGAGUGUUUGUAAUAUGCCUCAAUCCCCAUCAUUCUAAGCCACUUAACAUCGUAUUCCCAAUCCAUUCAAAUUGAUCUAAGGAAUCCUACCUUGGCUUAUACCGAGUCCCAGUAUACUAGCCCUGUAGUGUCUCCCUUAAACCAACUUGAACCUCGCAAAUGCUCACCUGUUUUGAAUGGCCACCAAGGAUAACACUUACCCCCAAAGAGUGCUGCACGUUUCUUUCAACCUAAGCCACUCUCAGGUUCAUGUUACUUCCCUGGUCCAGGUCAUCCAUAAAAGAUCUUGCAUUUCAUCGAUCCGUCCAACCCGUCUAUUAUUUCCAGAUAACUAGAUCCACCAACCCUCUGUUUCAAGAUCUUGCCAUUGGGGAGUGCAUCUUGGCCAAGAUGGUUCACCUUGGAACUUUCCCGUUCACAAGCAUGAUCCCCUAUCUUGCCUCAGCUCCCUCCAUGGUCAUCUCAGUUUCCAGAAAUAAUUUCGGUUUGGAACAUAAUACCUUUGAGCAGUGAGUUGAGCUGAAGUUACAACCCAAUCAGUACCUCCACUCAUCUGCCUCAAAAGGAUCCACUCUACCUGAGAAAUACUUAAUUCUCAUCUGAGCUAUGUGCUCCAGCACCCUCAGGUAUCCACUAACCAAGCUGCCCUAGCUGGUGAAUCAAUCUAGACCACCUCAGCUACUGGCCCAGCUUGAUCAUUAGCUGCCAAAACAGCUGCCCAAUCAACCGGUUAGUCCUCUCAUUGUUUGCAACAAAUGUUUGGAUUUGCCCGGUUCACAUCACAAGAGGAUUCAGCUUCCCCUUCCAGCUCUUGUUCCUGCUGCAGCUCAGCUCUCCCCCACUCGAACCUCAGUAGGGUUAGCUGACUUACAGACAAUCCAGCUUCAUUGUUAACUUUUUCCAGCUUAGUCAACAACAAAACUGGCCGAUUAACCAUAUCAUCAUCUACUUGUCCAGAUGUGUGGGUGAACAACCACAACCCAACCAUCCUAGAAUCAAGCAUGCUCUGAUACCAACUUGUAAGACCCGAACCCGGCCGGCUAGGCCGCGGUCGAUGCCUCACGUCGCUCAGUCCAUACCCUGACCGAACCACUCAAGUUUUCAAUCUUUAUAUAUACUUUCGCCUAAGGGCGAAGUCUAUCUUAGACCUUAGCUUAAGACUACCUUAGUCCUUCCCUAGCUUAGAUCCUUUCAACUUAUGCACAGCGGAAUAUUAUCUAUCAACCAUUGGUCUAAAACCAAUCUAAUACUGGUCAGAUCGAAUCACCUUAGCCAUGGUCAGUAGACACAACUACUACCAGCUCCAAAGUUGAUCCUGAACCUAAUCCAAGUCAUACAAGUCCGAGGUUCCAUUCCCCUAACCAUUCUAUCUAGAUCUAUGCAAUAUUGCUAGAUCAUACCUUUGCCACAUCCACGGAGCUUGAUAGCUCUUUGUCUCAGCUGCCUUAGCUGUCUAGCUAGCUCAUUCAGCUAGCUGAACUGAACCACUUCACUUGAGGUUCCCAACUCUCUUCCAGCUGAUCGAGCUGCGAGGUAGCUUUGCCUAGCUCCCCAUCCACUCGUCCAACUCCUCAUUAUACCUGUAUAAACUCUCCCCUUAGGUACUUAGUCAUUCAACCAACCAUCCCCACAAACCAAAUACCUUUGGGAAGUCUUCAGCUGCAAAAUCAACCUCAAGCAAACAUGCUCCAAAAACUAAUUAAAAUUCAUGAUAAAUCAUGAUAAUUCAUAACUAAGAGAAUGGUCAAGUCAGAUUUUUCAGAACUGGCCUCGAUCAUAUUGAUCUCGCCCAUGAACAGCCCAUAUGGCCAUAACUGACCACCUCUAAAUCAAUGAGAUAAAACUAAUCUUUCACCAUGAUAAUUCAUGAUAAAUAUCCAUUAAGAGAUAUUUAAAGUCGGAUCCUAACAAUUCCCUCAGGAACUAUCAGAUCUCCACUUACCUGCCCAACCAAGGCCAUGGAGAGAUUUCUCUGAAUCGGCCACUCCAUGGUUCAGUACCUCCAUGUCUGAACAUCAUAGAAUAAGAUUAACAAUGCCCACCAGUUCCUGAGUCAAUCAACCAACCACCCCACAUGACUCAGAACUGAUGAGUCUUCACACAUACUUAACCGACCAUGGAACCAUGUCCCAAUGAACCUGGUCAGUCUUGCUCUUCUUCAUGGCUCUCAGCCAAUCCUGUACCAACCCAAGGUUGAUACCUAUCAUACCAUAUGAUUCCAUUACCUCAUUGCCACGGCCUGAAGCCAUUGGUAAUGCAAAACCAUAGAUCAGGUUCACUCAUGAACCACCAUGAAUCACUAGUUGCUGUAUAGCAUCUAAUUACCAUCCCAUAUGGAUGAAUUAGUUCAACUAUGAUCCGCCCCUUUCUCCAGGGUCCUGUAUCCCUACAAUACAUCACAAUAUAUGGUCUCCAAGGGCGUGCCACACUUGGCCUCAUAUGCACCUCAAGAGACACCAACAUAAACCACAAAGUAAUCAUAUGUACAUGUUACUUUAGACUUGAUCUUACUAGAUCUUGUGCUUCCUGUAUCAUGUCUGGCCAUGCUCCUCCAUUGUACGCCUCUAUCAAGUAUUAUCAUAUACCUCCAGUAUUGAUAAGAACCAAUCAUGGGUCGCACCCAUCAUCCAUUCCAUGGAACUCCCAUGAAAACAGUUUCUGCACUGCAUCCACCUUUAAGGCUGUUCAUGCUUUUGGAGUGGAGUCCGGCCUUCUCCAUUCUCUUCUGUCCAUUUGCGUAUGUUACCAUGAUGUAGAGGAAGCCUAGGGUGUGUUCAUCCAUGAUCAAACACCACCCAAGGGUCGUGCAUCACUUCCCACUUCAGUACCCAUGAAACUGCCUUUCUACACACCACUGCCCUUAAGGCUGCUCUUGGAUUUUGAGAGUGAAUCCGGUCAUCUCCCUUUUUCCCUGGCUAUUUGGAUGUGUAGUAAGGAUGUAGAGGAAGCCUAUGGCGUGGCAAACCACAAUCAAAACACACCAGAGGGUCGUUCUCAACUCCCCUCUUGAUUGCCAUCAAAACUGCCUCUUUGCUGCCUUCAAGCCUCUCUUGGUCUUGGAUUGUGUAAUCCGACCAUCUCUCUGUUUUUCUCUGUUUUUCUUUGUGUUUCAGGAAGAAGAAUGAAGCCCUGGCGUGCCUGCAAAGGCACGGACUUGCCCUUGCAUUUAUAGAAAAGGAAUGGUCACCUUUCCAAAGGUUGCACCCUUUCGGUAUCAUUUCUGGCCAUUGAUUUAAUCAAUGGUCCAGAUCACACAUGUUCGCCUAUGGCAGUUACCUGACGUCCUUGACAUGCCUAACUGCUCCUAGACAUGUCACACACAAGCCUUAGCUGGUUGCCCAAGCCCCUGGUCCAACCACAAGUGCCCACCGGCUCACCGGCACACCCGGGUGGUCCACAUGGUCCGACCACUGUCCGGACCUGGCCCAACUGCCCAAGACUUGAACACUCAGUCUAGCUGAGUUGAGCUGAUCCCCAGCUGACCCAGCUGAGUGAGCUAGUUCAUCCAGCUCAGGGAGCUGACACACUCUUCAGUGAGCUACACUGAGCUGCACUACACUUCAUUUAGCUGGCCGAGCUUGCUCACUGCAUCGCCUAGCUGCCAUACACUUUGUACAGCUCCUUUAUACUUGUCUCCUUCUUGGUUUAGCUAUAUCUUAGCUUCCUGAUGCCCUUAACCUUACUUCCAGGCCAUGAUACCCUUGUCUUUAGGUCACAUGAGCUGACUGGUGCGUCUCCUUGCACCAUAGUCGCUCCUAAGGAUCAUAUCCAGGAUCAGGGACAUGACAUCAUCAGCGCAUGGCUAAACACGAGCAAAGAUCCCGUGGUUAACAACGAGCAAAGAGCAAGUGCAUUUUGGAGAAGAGUUGCUGACUACUAUGCUGCAAGUCAGGAGGCUACUGCAACUCAGAGAGGGAUGAAGAACUGCAAGCAUCGAUGGCACAGAAUCAAUGACGAAGUCUCCAAGUUCUGUGGUGCGUAUGAAGCGGCUACUAGGGAGAAAAAAAGUGGCCAAAACGAGAAUGAUGUACUCAAGAAUGCUCAUCGCAUAUUCCUCGCCAUUAAGAAUAAGAAGUUCACAAUGGAACACGCAUGGAAGGAGCUCCGCAACGACCAGAAGUGGUGCGACAUUGGUACUGCUAAAACCGAUGGGAGGACGAAGAAGAGGAAGUGUGACGAAGUUGCAGAAUCAUCUCCCUCGGAAGCUACUGCAAACAAGCGUCCUCGUGGCAUUAAAGCUGCAAAGGCGAGUGGUAAGAAGAAGGCGCAAUCACUGGGCGAGUUUGAGGGUAUGUGGACAAUCAAGCGUGAAGAUUUGAAAAUGAAACAGGGUAACCAUAGGAUUAGUCUGCUUGACAAGCUUAUGGGAAAAAAGGAACCUCUAACGGAGAGUGAGAAAGCCCUCGAGCAGAAGCUCAUUGAUGACAUGAUGUCUCCUUAGGUGAAGAGAGUGGAGACAGUGAGUGUCACAAGAGUGUUGUUAUCUUGUGUCACGAGAGUGACUGUGUGUGUGUUGUUGUUGUCGUCUUGUGUCACGAGAGUGACUGUGUCUUGUGAGGUCACGAGUGUUGUAGUCUAGUGUCUACUGUCUGUCUUGUGAGUUUGUGUCUGUUGUAGUCGAGUGUUAUAAAUUUAAACAAUAUGCUGAAGUUAUUGUUAUCAUUUCUUUCUAUUUUCAUCAAACUCAAAUAUUAUGUUCUUAUUGCUAUUAUUGUUAUCAUUUCUCUCUAUUUUCAUCUUGUGAGUUUGUGUCUUUACUAUUCUGUUCUUCUUUGUAAUUCUCAUCAAACUCCAAUCCCAUAAACCAUUCUCAUCAAACUCCAAUCUCAUCAACCAUUCAAACCAAACUUUAACGCAAACCAAACUUGAUUCUCAAACAUCACAUGGCAUCUUCUUCUCAUAACGAUGUUGAGGGUGAUAUUGAUGAAGCUUUCGAUGAUUAUUUUGAUCAAUAUUUUGAUCAAGCAUUCGAGAAUUUGGUGGAUGCUUACGGUGACCAACAAGACGGAGAGAAGACAAGAAAAAAAAGAAGAGUUUUUAUCGAAAGAAACCGUGAAGAAGGCCACCGCCGGUUAUGGGAUGAUUAUUUCAGUGAGACUCCCACAUAUGAAGAAAAUCUAUUCCGACGACGAUUUAGAAUGAACAGGCCAUUGUUCAUGCAUAUUGUUUCUCGCCUCUCUAAUGAAGUUGAAUUCUUUCGUCAGAAGAAAGACAUUACCGGAAGGUCUGGUCUCUCUGCACUUCAAAAGUGUACAGCAGCUAUUCGUGUGUUGGCAUAUGGUUCGGCGCUUGAUGCGAUCGACGAAUACAUUCGGCUCGCCGCAACCACUGCUCGGUUAUGUGUGGAGAAUUUUGUGGAAGGAAUAAUUCAAUUGUUCGGCGAUGAGUAUUUAAGAAGACCAACACAGGCUGACCUUCAACGUCUACUUUAUAUUGGAGAGCACCGUGGAUUUCCCGGGAUGAGUCGACUGUAUGCAUUGGGAGUGGAAGAAUUGUCCCGGCGCUUGGAAAGGGCAAUAUUCUCGAGGUUCGGAUAAACCAACUAUCGUUUUAGAGGCGGUUGCUUCAUAUAAUCUCUGGAUAUGGCAUGCGUUUUUUGGAUCUCCAGGUACCUUCAAUGAUAUCAAUGUUCUUGAUCGCUCACCUGUUUUUGAUGACAUAAUAUAUGGUCGAGCUCCGCAAGUGAAUUUCUCGGUGAACGGAAAUCCUUAUUCAAUGGCUUACUAUCUCACCGAUGGUAUUUAUCCGAAGUGGUCAACUUUUAUCCAAUCUAUUCCACUGCCACAGGGUCCGAAAGCGGCUUUAUUUGCUCACUUUCAAGAAGCUACGAGAAAAGAUGUCGAGCGUGCUUUUGGAGUCUUGCAAGCUCGAUUUUCCAUUGUUAAAAAUCCAGCACGUUGUUGGGAUAAAUUCAAGAUCGGGAAGAUUAUGAGAGCAUGUAUCAUACUCCAUAAUAUGAUAAUAGAAAACGAACAAGAUCUACACCCUCAAAUUGAUGUUUCCAGUGUUACCAAUUUCUUUCAAGGAGAAGGCAGCGGAAGUUCACAUGUCGAUCUCACUUUUUCUACAAAUAACCCUUCAAGUAUCCCCGAUGAGAUGGGUGUUCGAAGAAAUAUUCUUGAUAAACAACUGCAUCAACAGCUCAAACGUGAUUUGGUUGAACAUAUAUGGCGUAAAUUUGGGCGUCAUCAAGACAACAACUAAGUUUCGAUCCUCUAUCAAAUUAUUGUUAUUGUCGUUUAUUUACUAAUCUUUGUUUUUAUGUUUUUAUGUUUUUAAUUAAAUAUCUAUGUUUCAAAUAUUAUGCUUAACUUUGUUUUUUUUUUAAAUAAAAUUGUGUUUAAUAACU